rnacentral:rRNA from 1 species
AUUGAACGCUGGCGGCAGGCUUAACACAUGCAAGUCGAACGAGUGGCGGACGGGUGAGUAAUGCUUGGGAAUCUAGCUUAUGGAGGGGGAUAACUACGGGAAACUGUAGCUAAUACCGCGUACCAUAGGAUGAGCCCAAGUGGGAUUAGGUAGUUGGUGAGGUAAAAGCUCACCAAGCCGACGAUCUCUAGCUGGUCUGAGAGGAUGACCAGCGAAACGGUGACUAGUACACGGACCAGACUCCGACGGUAGGCAGGAGGGGAGAAGAUUGCGGAAUGAGGGCAACCUGACGAAGCCAAGCCGAGUGAAGGAAGAAGGCAUUCGGGUGGUGAAGUUCUUGCGGUAGCAAGGCGUUGACUACAGAAGAAGCACCGGCUAAGUUGGUGACGGCAGCCGCGGUAAUGC